GUGAACAAUCCGUUGUUCCUAUGGACGAAUUCAGGUGUUGUGGUUGACGAAAACGAAAACGCCAAGGAAGUCAUGU
rnacentral:tRNA from 1 species